rnacentral:rRNA from 1 species
AGCAGCCGCGGUAAUUCCAGCUCCAAUAGCGUAUAUUAAAGUUGUUGCAGUUAAAAAGCUCGUAGUUGAAUUUCGGGAUUGGCGCAUCGGUCGUGCCUCACGGGGUAUGAACUGGUGCAGUCAAUUUCUCACCUUCUGGAGAACCGCGAUGUCCUUAAUUGGAUGCCGCGGGGAACCAGGACCUUUACCUUGAAAAAUUAGAGUGUUUAAAGCAGGCAUUUUUGCUUGAAUACAUUAGCAUGGAAUAAUAAAAUAGGACGGCAUGGUUCUAUUUUGUUGGUUUCUAGGACCACCGUAAUGAUUAAUAGGGAUAGUUGGGGGCAUUAGUAUUCAAUUGUCAGAGGUGAAAUUCUUGGAUUUAUUGAAGACUAACUACUGCGAAAGCAUUUGCCAAGGAUGUUUUCAUUAAUCAAGAACGAAAGUUAGGGGAUCGAAGACGAUCAGAUACCGUCGUAGUCUUAACCAUAAACUAUGCCGACUAGGAAUCAGACGAUGUUAAUUUUUUAAUGACUCGUUUGGC